UACGUAGGCAGCAAGCGUUGUUCGGAAUUACUGGGCGUAAAGAGUGCGUAGGCGGUUAACUAAGUUUGGUGUGAAAUCUCCCGGCUUAACUGGGAGGGUGCGCCGAAAACUGGCUAGCUAGAGUGUGGGAGAGGAUAGUGGAAUUCCUGGUGUAGCGGUGAAAUGCGUAGAUAUCAGGAGGAACACCUGCGGUGUAGACGGCUAUCUGGACCAUGACUGACGCUGAGGCGCGAAAGCUAGGGGAGCAAACGGG
rnacentral:rRNA from 1 species